rnacentral:rRNA from 1 species
UACGUAGGGGGCGAGCGUUGUCCGGAAUUAUUGGGCGUAAAGAGCUCGUAGGCGGCUAAGCAAGUCGGGUGGGAAAUCUCCAGGCUCAACCUGGAGCCUUCGCUCGAUACUGCUUUAGCUCGAGUCCGGUAGGGGAGUGUGGAAUUCCCGGUGUAGCGGUGAAAUGCGCAGAUAUCGGGAGGAACACCGGCGGCGAAGGCGGCACUCUGGGCCGGUACUGACGCUGAGACGCGAAAGCGUGGGGAGCGAACAGG